rnacentral:lncRNA from 12 species
CCCCCCCCCCCCCCCCCACCGCCCCCCGGCCUCGUGCUGCCCGCGGGGCCUUUGUUCGCGCGGGGUCCCCGGGGCCGGCCCAGAACCCCGGGAUCCAGUCGGGAUCGGCCUCCCGGGGACCGGCACCCACGGGAUCGGCACCCCGGAGUCACUCCGGGAUCGGAUCGGCAUCUCCGGGAUCGGGAUGAGCAUCCCCGGGAUCGGGAUCGGCAACCCCGGCAUCGGGAUCGGCAUCCCCGGCAUCGGGAUCGGCAUCUCCCGGGAUUGGAAUCGGCUCCCAAACAUCCCAAGGGAUCAGACUCUGAACUCAGCCCAGCUCUGGUCACCACCCUGCAGCAUCCCGGGGGAUCUGUGUCCCUCAAUCCCCGGGGAUCUGUGUCCCUGCACCCCGGGGAUCUGUGUCCCUGCACCCCGGGGAUCUGUGUCCCUGCACCCCGGGGAUCUGUGUCCCUGCACCCCGGGGAUCUGUGUCCCUGCACCCCGGGGAUCUGUGUCCCUGCACCCCGGGGAUCUGUGUCCCUGCACCCCGGGGAUCUGUGUCCCUGCACCCCGGGGAUCUGUGUCCCUGCACCCCGGGGAUCUGUGUCCCUGCACCCCGGGGAUCUGUGUCCCUGCACCCCGGGGAUCUGUGUCCCUGCACCCCGGGGAUCUGUGUCCCUGCACCCCGGGGAUCUGUGUCCCUGCACCCCGGAGAUCUGUGUCCCUGAAUCCUGAGGGAUCUGUGUCCCUGAAUCCCCGAGGAUCUGUGUCCUUGCACCCCGGGGAUCUGUGUCCCUGCACCCCCGGGGAUCUGUGUCCCUGAAUCCCGAGGAUCAGCCGCUGCAGAGCCUUCCCAGAUCACAGCCCGGCAUCCCUUGGGAUCGCUCCCCAGAGCCAUCCCGGGUCACCACCCGUGGAAUUCCCGUGGAAUCGGUGCCCGGAGCCGCUCGGAUCGCGCCCGGCAUCCCUCGGGGUCGCCCCUCGGAGGCCCCCCUGCUCCGGCCCCGCAGCCCGGAUGUGGCCCCGAGUCCAGCCCUUCCUCUCUGUGCCUCAGUUUCCCCCCUCACACACUCCCUGGAAACCCCCUUCCCAUCCCAGGGUGACACCAGCGCUGCAAUCCCAAAAGGAAGCAGCAAAUCCCGCGGAAUUCCGCCCCUCCCAAAGCCCCCGAGCCCUGGACACCCCAAAGCGCCGUUUUGGGGUGACACAAAUCCCAACCCUGCCCUCCUCCAGGCUGAACCCUGCCCGGGGAGCCCCUCCACGGCUGCUGCCCCUUCCCUGGGGAUGGAAAGUUGGGAUAAAGAUGCUGUUUUGGGAAAAUGUUGCUUUUCCCCCCGUAAAACUCGGGAGAGGCCUUGGCACCGGGAGCUGGGUUGGCGUCACCCGGUUGAACAUUAACUCCGCCGGGAUAAGCCAGGAUUUAUCGGAUCAGUUCCACUCCCGGUCCCGAGAUAACGCUCCCGGUCCCAGCUGCGGCUUUUUGGGGAUCCCAAAGUCCCCAAGUGCCGCCUGGGGAGCCCCAGGACAAAGCCAUCACCCAGUUCCAGACGCACGCGGCUCUUUAGGAAAUUAAAAGUCCCUUUAUCCCGCAUUUCCCAGCCCGGCGGCACCGAGGGGACGGGGACAGGAGCGACCCCGGCAGCGCUCGGGUUAAUGAAUAACCAGGAAAAACCAGCGGUGCCAAGGAGAGGUGUCACCAUCCCCGGCUAGAAAACAGGGAAUUGCGGUGCCGCAUCUGGCCCCGCAAACCCCGCGGGACAAGGAUGGGAUCGCCAUUCCCGGGGAAAAUCUGGGAUUCAGGGAAACAUCCGAUGUGCCGAGCCCAGGAUCCGAGCAGAUCCAUGAAAAGCGGCUGGGCCUCGUUUCUGACUCAUUCCCGCCUCAUCCCCGGCUCCUUCCCGGCCUCCUUAGGCUGGGUUUUAAUUAAACUGCGGAUUUUAAUUAACUCCUGGUCACCAAAGCGGAAUCAAACCCCCGGGGGGCCCCGGAGGGGGAGGGGGACGUGGUCAGACUCCCCCUUUCGCCCGCAUUCCCGAUUCCUCAUUUCCUCCCGGAUACAUCCAAAAUUUUCUUCUCCCACUCCCCGGCCGUUACCCCAAAACAGCCCAAAAACCUCGGGAGGCCCCAGAACAGCCCAAAAACCUCGGGAGGCCCCAGAACAGCCCAAAAAUCCUCGGGAGGAACCCCCGGCGAGCCCCCCCCCCCCCCCCCCCCCCCCCCCCCCCCCCCCCCCCCCCCCCCCCCCCCCCCCCCCCCCCCCCCCCCCCCCCCCCCCCCCCCCCCCC